AAUUGAUUUCAUGAGGAUAAGGAAAAACAGAAAACGAAUAUUCUACUUAUCCAUUCUCUUGCAAUAAGAGUUCUUAGUCAUCACCAUGUAGUAUUGAGUUUACAAUGCAGAGAAAAGCAUUAUUGUCGUGUUCCUCUAUUUAAUCGUUUCUUAUUCAAAUUCUUACUAAAUUCAGCUCUGGUGGUAGAUGCCUUCCUAUAGAGUAUGUAGACAAAGUUGGAGAACUAGCAACGAAGUACGGGCUGAAACUUCACAUUUACGGUGGCCGUAUAUUUCACGCAUCAGUGGUGAUUAUUUGUUUUCCAUUUUUUGCAGGUUCUCUUCCUGCAUGCAUAUGCUACAGCUUAUAUUAUCUGCAAUGCUUUGUAGGAUUGUAAGAUUUUAACGAGAAUGUGGCUUGUAGAAAUGGAUUUAAGUGGCAUAUACUUUACCAGCACACUUUGUUUAGUAAAUGCAUAUAUGCAAACUAUCUGCAUUUUUUACUUCAUAAAGUUUGUUUUCCGGGCACUUGGAGUUCUUGUUCACAGGCUUGUGCAAGCUGCUGAUUCAGUUUCGGUAGGAUUGCAUGGUGUUCAGCUUUCUGAGUUAUCUUUAUCUCUCUAACUUUUGAAUUCUCUCUUUUUGUCAUUGCUCAAAACAUUCAGUGCUUAAUUUUGAACCGUUAAUUUAUUCACACUUGAAGCGAAUUUACAGGUUCAAUCCAUAAUUUUACAAAAUCAGACAAUACAAUGUGGCAUUUUCACAUUCUAUCUAUUUUGUUAUAGCUCCACUGUCUCUUCUUUUUUUAAUAUUAAUCCCAAAAUCCUGCAAUCCAGGUCAGUCUAUCUCAAGGUCUAGGUGCUCCAGUGGGAACUUGUCAUUGUUGGUUCAAAAGAAUUUAUAGCAAGGAUGUAGCUGAUAUUUUGGCAAAUGGUUACGUACAACACGAACUUGAUACAUGGCUCUUAUGUGGUUUAUUAGGCAAAGACUCUCAACUCUCAAGAAGACCUUAAGCGGUGGGAUGAGACAAGUCGGCAUCUUGUACGCCGCCGCUUUAGUUGGACUGCAAGAGAAUGUUGCAAAACUAAAGCAUGGUCACAAAAAUGCCAAGACUCUAGCCGGUAGACUACCAAUUACUUGUUUGUGAGAAACCAAUGGGCAUGGCUGUGCAAAUUUUGGCAUGAUUUUUUCAAUUGAGUCCCAAAGUUGAUUCUCCUCCAGUUAUGUUUCUGUGGGUACUUCGGUCUUUUCGUAGCAUUUGCAAGGAUUACCAUUAUCCCUUUCCAGACUUUUAACAUUUUCCUUCCAUGUCCUUUUUUAGCACUUGAUUUGGUCGGUUUGUGCUGCUUUUUAUGAGGGUAUGGAUGUAAAAUUGGGGUGGUGACAACCUGGUGUUGGUUAGUCAAUGCUGGUACAGUAGUUGGGGUGUGUAGACGAUGGCAGAGCUGCGGCAGUGAUGUUUGCAGCUGUAGAUGCUCAUGUCGCCGGUGAAACUCCCCAUCUCCAGAUCCCCUUGCAUCACAAUUCCUCCAGUCUCAGUCCGACAUUGUUUCUUGAGUCACCUGUUCUCCUCUCCAAUAUCAAGGUUAGGUAUCCAAUCGUUGGCGUCGGCUGCCGGUAUCAUGCCAGUGCCGGCAAGUAAGAGAGACGAUCCGCUGGUGCUGCAACAUGAUGAGAUCCAUGGCGCAUUCUGUCACUGCAAGAGAUCGUAAAACUCCACGAGAGGUGGUGUUCUACACUCCGUGGGCGACACUAGGACGUCGGAGUAGAGAGAGAAGAAAGUGACGGAAGCCAUGGGCGGAUUGUACUGGAGGAGGAGGAGCGACUCUCUGAUCGUAUUACCAAUCAUCUUUGUUGCAAGUGCUUGUAUUUUGUUUGCACACAAAGCUAAUUCUUUUGUAAUCAAUCGUUACGCUUUUCAGAGUUUUAUAUGUUUAUUUUUGUGAUUGGUUUAUCAAAUAUUAUGGAUGUCUCACACCGUAUAUCAGUUGAGGAUUUUAAAUAACCUCUUUCAAUUCUUGUACAUAAAUCAUCAGUCAAUUAAAGUGUGGGAUGAGUAAGAUUGCUAAUACUA